rnacentral:tRNA from 1 species
UGGGGUUCGUAGCGCAGUGGUUGUCGCGCCUUCACCGCAUGUGGGAGGACGCCGGUUCGAAUCCGGCCAGCCUCAUCC